GAAAUACACAGAAUGAUCAAAACAACUUCCAAUUGCAGUCUAAAAGUGCAAAAUAUACCACAACUGUGACAGAAAUUCUAAAUGUUAUGGCUUGUUCAAAUAAGUUUUAAACUAUUAUUUGUAAAUAUUACUCCAAACCUUGAUUUUUAUCUUCGUGAACAAGAUAUUUACCCUACAAAUAGUAUAUUGUCCUUCAAAAACAUUAUAAAUUAUACUUGGCAAU
rnacentral:lncRNA from 1 species